CUUGAUCCCUAACUGGGUUACGGGAAGAACACUGAAUUUCAAGCUCUUAACUAUUCAGAGUAGGGCAAUAUCUCAGGGUUAAGGAAAACAAAUCAAGCCAGCAUAUUUGUCCAUAAUAUUUUAAUACUUUUCCACUUUAAAUACUGGUUUUAAUUCUGUGAUUGUAACAUGGAAGAUCCAACUUUAUUGUGUUUAAAAAACAUCAUCAGGAUCAUAAAGCUAUUAUAGAAGUUACUCUACACACUCCCAAGGUACUUUAAAAUGAUUAUGUUUUGAGUCUGUAGAUGAACCAUGACAAAAUCCAAAUACAUCGUCUGUACAACUCGGACUAAAUACUGGUGAAAAGUGUUUAAUUGGACAAAUAACUGAUAAGCUUAAAGAUAACCAGCACAAUUUCACAAGAGAA
rnacentral:lncRNA from 1 species